UGUGUUGAUUUUGGUAGCAGUUGCCAAGCAAAAUCUCAAAGUGUUUCUGAGUUGACUUGGAAGCUUAUAACACCACAAAGGGACCCUACAUCACAUGCUCAGUGGCACGUGGACCACACUAUGGGACCUGAGUGUGGAAAUAUCUGGGGGACAUUGAAUCACCCUUGGCAUCGGGAAAGCAAGGCAUUACAAGCUUUUGGAUAGAUUACAGGAACAAGCGUGAGGCUAUGAGUUACCUUUGGGGGGGUUCAUGCAGAUUUGAAGAGCAAAGGGAAGACCCUGAACACCUGAACUGAUCUCGAUUUGAAAAACUCAAACUAAGAAGUAAGAACAAGAUGCCAGUGUUGGGCAUCAUUUCUCCAACGCUUCAUUAGCCCACAAGGAAAAUGUAGUGUGGAAAAGGUCUGAAAACCUAGGUGAAGUUGCCAUAUCACCAGGGGGGACAUGUGUGAGCCUCAGCAAGGAUGCAAUACAGUGAGGAAAAUAGGUUUUUCCUCACUCCAGCACCUCGUUGUGAUGAGGCAGUGUGAGCCUUUACCACAGCUCAUCAUCUCUACAACAGCUCUGCAAGGCAGACAGAGCUGUCCGGCUCCAGCUGGCUGCCCCCGCAGAAUUGUCACAUGCCAUAGGUCUCUUGGAUCUGCAUCAACAACCGGCUUGUGUCUGAGACACGCUCUGCCAUCCACUCCUUUGACAACUCCAAGAGUGAUGAAAACCCUCCACGCUUAAGAAUUGAGCGUUUUUAAUUCAUUUGUCACAAGAUAAAUGUGUUGCCUGUGUGCUCUGAACCAAAUCCUGAUGUGUUUCUUCGGAUGAAGAAAACAUACAUUUAAAAAAUCUGAUUGACAAUAACAACUUCUUAAUAAGCAGAGGGGGAAAAAAGGUGAAAAUGGAAGAUUAACCAUUUCUCACGACCCCCAGAAGGCAAUCUGUGUGUGCUAGAGGGCUUUAGUUGACUUCUCUUAGAAGCUCCUGAGGGAGAAGAAGGCAGCCCUUGACAUCCGGAGCUGGCCUGGCAUUUCUGGCUGCACCUUGGUGUUCUUCUGUUGAACAAUUUCCUGCAUCAACAUGAGGCAAGGCCACUCUGUGACCAUGAUGGAUCAAAAGAGAAGCAAGACUAUUUCAUAAUCACUUCUGAACACUGAUAAAAUAUGAACAAUGUCCAAGCCACAGAAUACCAAGCAUCCCUCCAUCCUGGCUAGUAGGACUGAUGGUCUCAGCCUUGCCCAGCUUGCUCUCCCUCCAGGAUUUUGCUAAUUUGCUGAUACUGGCCUUGAAUUCUC